GGGAUGGAAGCGGAUACCCCGCUGAAGCCCUGUGCGGUGGGGCUGCGGCGGAGUAGCAGCGUAUAGCCCG
rnacentral:misc_RNA from 1 species